rnacentral:rRNA from 1 species
GGGCUGUUCGCCCAUUAAAGCGGCACGCGAGCUGGGUUUAGAACGUCGUGAGACAGUUCGGUCCCUAUCCGCCGCGCGCGUAAGAGAUUUGAUGAAGGGCUGUCCCUAGUACGAGAGGACCGGGAUGGACGAACCGCUGGUGUGCCAGUUGUCCCGCCAGGGGCAUGGCUGGUUGGCUACGUUCGGGAGCGAUAACCGCUGAAAGCAUCUAAGCGGGAAGCGUGCUUCGAGAUGAGAUCUCUGUCAGGUUAAUCCUGGUGAGGCGCCCUGUAGAUGACGGGGUUGAUAGGCUCGACAUGGAAGCGUCGCAAGGCGUGGAGUGGACGGGUACUAACCGCCGAGAACUUAACAUA